AACCAACAGAGACAGGGGGAGACAGUGGGUGAGGUAACCAACAGAGACAGGGGGAGACAGUGGGUGAGGUAACCAACAGAGACAGGGGGAGACAGUGGGUGAGGUAACCAACAGAGACAGGGGGAGACAGUGGGUGAGGUAACCAACAGAGACAGGGGGAGACAGUGGGUGAGGUAACCAACAGAGACAGGGGGAGACAGUGGGUGAGGUAACCAACAGAGACAGGGGGAGACAGUGGGUGAGGUAACCAACAGAGACAGGGGGAGACAGUGG